GCAUAAACCGAUGAAUCUCCCCGGCAUAACCCGAUGAAUCUUCCCGGCAUAACCCAUGGACCUUUUCCGGCAUAACCCGUGAAUUGUCCUCAGCUAGUCAGCAUCAGGGUUUCAACCCUGAACUGAACUCUUUCCAUUCAGUCGGCAUUAGGGUUUUAAACCCUAAACUGAACUUUUUCCCUUUAGUUAGCAUUAGGGUUUUAAACCCUAAACUGAACUAUUUCCAUUCAGUCAGCAUUAGGGUUUUAAACCCUAAACUGAACUUUUUCCCUUUAGUCAGCAUUAGGGUUUUAAACCCUAAACUGAACUUUUUUCCCUUUAGUCAGCAUUAGGGUUUUAAACCCUAAACUGAACUUUUUGCAUUUAAUCAGCAUUAGGGUUUUAAACCCUAAACUGAACUUACUCCUUUAGUCAGCAUU
rnacentral:lncRNA from 1 species